CCUACGCCGAGUUGGAUACUCAUGAAGAAAGCGUGUGCCCCACCUUUCACUGCCGAGUCGCAAAGCCGCGCCGUUCAGGAUGCAUUGAAGCCGAGUCGACUGACUACGCCUGAUACACCUAGGCCUGCUGCGAAAAACGCCGCACCGGAGAUUACUGAACUCCACUUGCUGGCUCAACUGCUGGGCGCCCUGUAGGGACCCUCUUGUACCCCCUUGUAAGCCCUGGCCUACGCCUAGCAGUGCUGGUCGGUUGCACCCUUAUGUGACGGGCCCGGCGACGUCUUGCUGCAGCGGUAGCCUUGAAUGCCAGCAUCAGUCCUGUCCCAUCGCUGCUGUUUUGAACAAGAGCAAGCUCCUCUGCAAGGCCCUUCACGAUAUCAAGGCUGGCCAACAAAAACAGUGUGAACCUCGGUGCUAAGGGCUUGAAUGCCACUGGGUUGUAGUGCCACCAACAGCAAGGGGAUCGCGUCGUGAUGGAAGAAGGGGAUGCGCGGGAUCACGUGCGAUCCAGCAGCAAUACUGGCGCGAGGUGGACAGAAAAUAAAGAAAACAUUGGUUGUGUGAAAACCUGCCGAGUCUUUCUCACAUGUGCUACACAAGGUAUACUAACGUUCUCCUCAUUGUGGACAUGUACUGUGAUAGGGACAGCAGCUGCCUUUGUGUAGUAUUUCUGAAUGCUUUGUUGUUGUUACUAACACAAAGCUGUCACAUAAUUUAACCUUUUACUUCACUAAAAUUAUAAAUGAACUGUAAUAAUUACAAGAGCAAGCCUAAAAAUGUUGAUACUUCAUGUUACUUUGCCUGAAAAAUGUUAGUUUUUGAAGCAUGAAGUUGGUUUUGUUUAAUUCCAAACAAGCGAACUCCACUUCUUAAAGGAGUGCCAACCCCUGAUGUCCGACUAAGUUGGCAUAAAAAGGACUGAAUCAUCGGCUUUCAGUGCUUGUAAGGAAUGUUGGGUGAAUGUCAACCGUUGGACACGCUAUGUACACAAUUGUGUACACCCCUUGAUUUUUCUAUUUAUAUAUGUAGGGGCUGUUCUGUUCUGUUUUAACUGUUUUGCUGUGGAGAGGUUGAGGUGCCUAUUGCCUCGGCUACUCCAUAUCACAAAGGGGCUAAGAAACAUCAAAAUAUAUUGAUUUUCUAAUCUCUUUAUUUAACUUCGUUUUGCAGCAUACAGUUGCAUAUUUAUUUUUAUUUUAUUUACUCUCGAAAUCCUUACGGUAUUAAUAGAGGGGACUGGUUACAAAGUAGACAAGGAAAAUGCAGCAUGAAAAGUUACUAAACAAAGAAUAAACUCAUCAUUACACAAUGUUAGCUGUGUAAGGAAAACAAACACAAUACAUAAUUCAGCCUGUAAAUACAGAAUGUUAGUCUUUUUGGAUAAUUACAGAAUACUGAGUAAAGUUUAUUGGAAAACAAUUACUAAUAGUGACAUGUCUUCAGGAAGUUGGUUUCAAUGUACCAAUGUACAAGAUGAAAACACUGGGAGUUGCAUAAUGCGAUGCCAACCUUAUGACGAGGUCACUGCAAUGGAAUAUGUACUCAGGAUUCAGGAUUAGUUGGUCAUGCGGGGUGGUAUGACAGAAUAAUUCGUGAAAUGAAGCCAAAUAGGAUAUUUUCCAAGGGGGUGCAAAAGAAGCAAGGCUUCGGCUGGAUUUCAUUGAAGUUAUACCAGCAAUGCAAUUACAGUGAGAAGGUUUCAAGGGGAUGGAGUUAUUCUGUACAAAAAGUGAAUCAAGUUGUCGUGGCAAGGGUCUCGCACAGUAGAGGCAUAUUCAAGUUUGGCACGUAAUAAUGUUUCAUAUAGGAGUAGUUUUAGUGUAUAUCCGGGUUUUGAGAAGGUGCAAUGUAUGUAGCCUAACUUGUAAUCGGCAUUAUUAGUAACAUAUUCAGUGUGAGGUGCGUGAGGUAAGUUCAAUGUGAUAAGAACACCUAAUUAAUUAUAUGAGCUGACCCGAUUGUUUAGGACAUUUACCUAAUAUGUUAGCAAGAUGUCUGCAUAACUUCUUGCGUACAUUUGCUUAAAUUUACGCUUGUUUAAAUCUAUUUGCCACGUGGUGCACCGAGCUGCUACAGUGUUGAGGUAAGAUUGGAGAAAUGAACUGCCAUUACCACUACUUACUUUAUUGAAAAUUAUGCAGUAAUCUAAAAAACAUUAAUGUUUGAAGAAGUUGAAGAUUACAGGCUCAAGGUCGGCGUCGGGUAUAUUUUUUGGCACUGGAGCUGGGUUCAUGGCUUGAUUGGGGCGCCCAGAACAUAAAAGAAACCACCUCCACCAGAUGUCGCAUAGUUGUGAUAUGGACUAAGGCAGCAGGCGGCACUUCCAAGAUGAAAUUUUUUGUUUGGCCAUACUUGUGGCCGAGAAACAAAGUCAAAGACUACAGUAAAGCACAAGUUCGGUUUCUUUUUGAAUGCACCUCGUGUUAUGCCGCUAUUUUUGUUGCAAUAGAAUAUCGAGUGCCUUGAAAUGUCAGUUUCACACAAGUACAUACAGUUCUUCGUAGGUGGUAUCUGAAAGGGCUAAGAGAGCAGUUCA